CAGUGAUGCAAAUGACAAGAUCAACACCAUUGGAAGCAGUGAAGGAGCUCCAUAUGAUUCUAUGCAAAGCCUUGGGUGGAUAUUGAUACUGGUAAUUCAUUUGCCUAUUCUUCCCUUACUCUCCAGAGCAUUUGGUCCGCACCGCACCCAAGUUGAAGAACAUGAAACCUUAUAUUUAUGUUUCCAUCAAUGCUUCAUUGAAAGAACAUAGCCAUGUUUCUGGAUCCGCAUCUGCACUUUUUGUUGGGGGAUUUUCCAUAGUGCAAAUGGGAAAGGAUACGACACAGUUGAAUCUGACACCAGACUCUAACAAGUCUAUCAUAACCAUCUUGGGAAAUACAG